GGCCUGUUAGCUCAGCUGGUUAGAGCGUGGUGCUAAUAACGCCAAGGUUGUGGGUUCGAUCCCCCCAUGGGCCA
rnacentral:tRNA from 1 species